UGUGCUGUUUCUGCUCCCCCGCCCUCAUGCGCUACUGAAUGAGACCGGGGCCGGAAUAUGACGUCAUUUUCCAGCCCCGGUCUCAUUCAGUGGCGCGCGAGGGCGGGGGAGCAGAGACAGCACA
rnacentral:miRNA from 1 species